rnacentral:rRNA from 1 species
CCUACGGGAGGCUGCAGUGGGGAAUAUUGGACAAUGGGGGCAACCCUGAUCCAGCCAUGCCGCGUGUGUGAAGAAGGCCCUCGGGUUGUAAAGCACUUUCAGUGAGGAAGAACGCCUGGUGGUUAAUACCCAUCAGGAAAGACAUCACUCACAGAAGAAGCACCGGCUAACUCCGUGCCAGCAGCCGCGGUAAUACGGAGGGUGCGAGCGUUAAUCGGAAUUACUGGGCGUAAAGCGCGCGUAGGUGGCUUGAUAAGCCGGUUGUGAAAGCCCCGGGCUCAACCUGGGAACGGCAUCCGGAACUGUCAAGCUAGAGUGCAGGAGAGGAAGGUAGAAUUCCCGGUGUAGCGGUGAAAUGCGUAGAGAUCGGGAGGAAUACCAGUGGCGAAGGAGGCCUUCUGGACUGACACUGACACUGAGGUGCGAAAGCGUGGGUAGCAAACAGGAUUAGAUACCCUUGUAGUC